rnacentral:rRNA from 1 species
AGAGUUUGAUCAUGGCUCAGAUUGAACGCUGGCGGCAUGCCUUACACAUGCAAGUCGGACGGCAGCACGGGAGCAAUCCUGGUGGCGAGUGGCGAACGGGUGAGUAAUACAUCGGAACGUGUCCUGGAGUGGGGGGAUAGCCCGGCGAAAGCCGGAUUAAUACCGCAUACGCUCUGAGGAGGAAAGCGGGGGAUCUUUCGGGACCUCGCGCUCAAGGGGCGGCCGAUGGCAGAUUAGCUAGUUGGUGGGGUAAAGGCCUACCAAGGCGACGAUCUGUAGCUGGUCUGAGAGGACGACCAGCCACACUGGGACUGAGACACGGCCCAGACUCCUACGGGAGGCAGCAGUGGGGAAUUUUGGACAAUGGGCGCAAGCCUGAUCCAGCAAUGCCGCGUGUGUGAAGAAGGCCUUCGGGUUGUAAAACACUUUUGUCCGGAAAGAAAACCUGUGGGCGAAUACCCUGUGGGGAUGACGGUACCGGAAGAAUAAGCACCGGCUAACUACGUGCCAGCAGCCGCGGUAAUACGUAGGGUGCAAGCGUUAAUCGGAAUUACUGGGCGUAAAGCGUGCGCAGGCGGUCCGUUAAGACAGAUGUGAAAUCCCCGGGCUUAACCUGGGAACUGCAUUUGUGACUGGCGGACUCGAGUAUGGCAGAGGGGGGUAGAAUUCCCGUGUAGCAGUGAAAUGCGUAGAGACGUGGAGGAAUACCGAUGGCGAAGGCAGCCCCCUGGGCCAAUACUGACGCUCAUGCACGAAAGCGUGGGGAGCAAACAGGAUUAGAUACCCUAGUAGUCC